rnacentral:rRNA from 1 species
GACGAACGCUGGCGGCGUGCUUAACACAUGCAAGUCGAACGAUGAAGCUGGAGCUUGCUCUGGCGGAUUAGUGGCGAACGGGUGAGUAACACGUGAGCAAUCUGCCCUUGACUCUGGGAUAACUGCGGGAAACUGUAGCUAAUACCGGAUACUUUCACCGGGGGGCAUCCUCUGGUGAUGAAAGAAUUUCGGUCAAGGAUGAUCUCGCGGCCUAUCAGCUUGUUGGUGAGGUAACGGCUCACCAAGGCGACGACGGGUAACCGGCCUGAGAGGGUGACCGGUCACACUGGGACUGAGACACGGCCCAGACUCCUACGGGAGGCAGCAGUGGGGAAUAUUGCACGAUGGGCGCAAGCCUGAUGCAGCAACGCCGCGUGAGGGAUGAAGGCCUUCGGGUUGUAAACCUCUUUUAGCAGGGAAGAAGCGAAAGUGACGGUACCUGCAGAAAAAGCACCGGCUAACUACGUGCCAGCCGCCGCCGUAA